rnacentral:rRNA from 1 species
UACGGAGGGGGCUAGCGUUGCUCGGAAUUACUGGGCGUAAAGGGCGCGUAGGCGGAUACUUAAGUCGGGGGUGAAAGCCCGGGGCUCAACCUCGGAAUGGCCUUCGAUACUGGGUAUCUUGAGUUCGGGAGAGGUGAGUGGAAUGCCGAGUGUAGAGGUGAAAUUCGUAGAUAUUCGGCGGAACACCAGUGGCGAAGGCGACUCACUGGCCCGAUACUGACGCUGAUGCGCGAAAGCGUGGGGAGCAAACAGG